AAUGAACGCUGGCGGCGCGCCUAAUACAUGCAAGUCGAGCGAGAAGACGUAGCAAUACGUUUGUAAAGCGGCGAACGGGUGAGGAAUACAUGGGUAACCUACCCUCGAGUGGGGAAUAACUAGCCGAAAGGUUAGCUAAUACCGCGUACGCUCCUUGGACUUCGGUUCAGGGAGGAAAGCGAUACCGUGGGUAUCGCGCUCUUGGUUGGGCUCAUGUCCUAUCAGCUUGUUGGUGAGGUAACGGCUCACCAAGGCUUCGACGGGUAGCUGGUCUGAGAGGACGAUCAGCCACACUGGCACUGCGACACGGGCCAGACUCCUACGGGAGGCAGCAGUAAGGAAUAUUGCGCAAUGGGCGAAAGCCUGACGCAGCGACGCCGCGUGGGGGAGUGAAGGUC
rnacentral:rRNA from 1 species